rnacentral:piRNA from 1 species
UAGUGGACUCUUCUAAGAAACAGAAGU